UACGUAGGGUGCAAGCGUUGUCCGGAAUUAUUGGGCGUAAAGAGCUCGUAGGCGGCUUGUCGCGUCGUCCGUGAAAACCUGCGGCUCAACUGCAGGCUGGCGGUCGAUACGGGCAGGCUGGAGUUCGGUAGGGGAGACUGGAAUUCCUGGUGUAGCGGUGAAAUGCGCAGAUAUCAGGAGGAACACCGGUGGCGAAGGCAGGUCUCUGGGCAUUAACUGACGCUGAGGAGCGAAAGCAUGGGGAGCGAACAGG
rnacentral:rRNA from 1 species